UAUGGCGCUGCGGUGCAGCGUGCGUGCGCUUUGGGUGUAGGAUGGUUUGGGCUAUGGGGUGCUUCAGCUACAAGGUGUUUUGGCUGCAGUGUAUGCCAGCUCCGGCUUAAAUAGACUUUCUUGAUUCUUAGGCUAACGUGGGCACUGGAACAGGCCUCUGCAUAGGAGUUGUGGGCGCCUCAUCCCUGGAGGUGCACAGGGCUGUGCUGGGCGGGCCCUGGCAGCCGGGUCUGAUGGGUGCCAAGCAGUGCGUGGCAGGGGUUUGGAACUUGGCUUUAGGGUCCCUUCCCACUCAACUGUUCUGUGCUUCUGUUUGGCUGUAGGGUACCCUAUGUGUACCCUGUAGUGUAGGGAGCUGGGGAUGAUAGCAGAGCUGAGGGGUGGUGAUGGGGUGUACAUCCUUGGGGGCACUUCCCAGCAGCGGGGCAGCUCCAACUGCAGCAGCAGAGGUGUUUCAGACCAACCUCUCAUUGCUUUGCUCUGUGUUUUCACCAAAGCAACGUUCGAGGUGAUCAGAAGUGGAGGAGGAUCCAGGAGCAGCCCAGCCACUGUCCUCACCUUGGGGCUGGGAGAACUCCUGCAGCGCCGGAGAGGCCGUGCGCCCUAAGGCAGACUGUGACUUGUUGUGGUGGGAUGAGCCAUACAACAACAAAAUCACUAGUCUUCCAGAGGGCACCGCGGCCAUCCUCGUCCCAUAACCACCAUUGUAGGGAUGCAGGAUGAGUGUCCUCACCCUCUGCCUCCUUUCUGCUCUGUUCUGCCUGGUCAGAAAGCCUCUUCUUCACCCUAUGGAACUCCCUGACCUGGUUUUGCUGCAUCCUCCAAAGCAAUGGUGCCUGAGUUUCCUUUACCAGAGUUUGGCCGUAUGUGGGCUGGGUGUCACCAACCAGCGUUGUUUUCAAUGCAAAAACUUCAGGAGGAUCCAGGCAAUGGGGUUCCUCAAAUAAAGAAAAGCAUCCCCUCUGUUUGCACAUGCAAUGGGCUGCUCAGGGUGCUGCUGCAGCUCUGGCUGUUGGGACUCUGGUGCACCCAUGUGCUUGCUUGGAAUGCUGUUUCCUGGGAAUUUCAUCCUGACUCGUGUUUCAUAUCCUCAAUGUGCUCGGAGUGCCGUCCUUGUGGAGGACUUUGGUGUGCUUGACAGCAGAGCCCCAGCAUCGGGAGAUCCUGGAGGUGAAUCACCUUCUUCUAAACCCCCUUCUUGGCAAAUCUCAUCCCUUUAUUCAGCUGAUAGCUUUUUGGGACCUGGCUGAAAGCUUCUCCAUCCUUCGAUGUGCAGGGUGUCCUGUGGGGUACGGAGGUGCUGAAGCUCAGCACUACAGUCAGCUCUUGCUGCUCCAGGGUCUUUGGGGAAGGUGAAUCCGGGGAGCGAUGCUAGCACGCAGCAUCCGUCCUUUUCCUUCUGCUUCUCCCCCAGCCAACACAAAGAGCCCGGCAUCAGCAGCCCUGCAAAUUCCUGCUGUUCAAAAAGUUAUAUAAUGGGCAGCCGACCUCUGCGAGACGGUUUGUGAAUUGGUUGAAAUAACAGGCCUGGCUCUCUCCUGGGAAGCUACAUGGAGGUCAGCCUUGAAGAAAAGAGCGGUACAGCAGCUCCAAGCAUUGGCAAGAAGAAAUAACUGAAGCAGAGAGACUUGAACGUAAUUACAGCCUAAGAGCUGUGAUGGGAACUCAGCGACCUGAGCCCAUCUCCUGGACUUCAGUGCAAUCAACAGAUUGACACCAGCAGCUCAUGAAGGCUGGUUUCUGGAAGUCGUGCAAUGGUACUGAAUGCCAGAGCAGGUGGAGAAGCAGCACAGGUGGCUGUUCCAAAGGCUGGAGCUAGGCAAGGGUCUCAAAUGCCAUGGAAGAAGCAGAUGGAGGCAACCACUGGAACGCUCUGUGCUUAAUUGAGGGCACCUUCAAGGGUGAGCACGAGGUGGCUGCCCACCACCGGGAUGCUCUGCUGCUGCCAUGUGAGUCUCUGUCAUUAGAACCAGGAAUGCAGUUUAUAGCUGAGUAACCACAACAACUUUGCACAAAUUAAACAACAUACUGCAGGUUAAUUAGAUUUCUUACUGCUGCCUCAAUUAACUUAGCCCUGUCAUCUGCUGUCAGAAGUGGAUGGAGACCCUUUGAAAUUCAUGGGCUGUAUCGUUGAGAGAUGGGAAUGGGAAAACCUCUCCCUGGGCAACCACACCUGUGAGUGAUGCGUGUUUGCAUGGAUGGGCAAUGCCAUCUUCUGUGCUUGGAACCCCUUUGUGUGGCAGGGGAGAGCAGCAGGAGAUGCUUUUGUCUUCCAGCAGAAUAGUGACCAAGGAGGAUUUCCCCUCUGGUGUUUCAAACUCACCUUGUCAUAAGACAAUCUUAAAAAAAAAGCAAAUAAACAUAUCUGGAGAAGUCUUCUUUUUUUUUUUCUUUUCUUUUUUAGUCAUUCCACACAACGCUGUGUGAAUGCAAAUAAAUAAAAGGGCCCACUAUGAAAACAUCUGAGAAUGCUGGUUUGUAUUUUUAAACCAAUUUCCUUCGACUGUGUCAGGGCCUGUUUUGUGUUUGCUCGACAAUUAUGUGGCUAAUGAGGACAGCCACAGCUACAUUAGGCAGGAUUAGGAAGAAUAAGGCUACAAAUGCUUCAGUGUUUAAGACAACCACUGACUAAUGGGGGGUAGGAGGGCAUGCCCCUGGAGCAGACAACUCCUCACAGGGUUUCUUAUGCUGCUUGGUUGGGCAGGAGAGAAGGGGAAGAGCAGGAGUGACAAGGGGGGCUUCUAGUCCCAUCUGCUGAGGGGUGACCAUGCCUGUGGGACAGGAGGAAGCUUAAGGUGCAAAGCAAAACAUCUCAUCCUCAAUGCCCUGCUCACAAAGAGAGCUUUGUUGAAUGGCUGGGACAGAGAUGUAAACCUGGAAGAGACUGUACUGAAUGCUCAUGAACUAACCCCAAAAAUGAGCAGGUGUGGUUGUGCAGAGAGCCCUGCUUCUCCAACAGCAUCAUGGCUUGGCUGUGUUCAUCACAAGAGAAGGUAACUGGAGACACCUCUCCCUGACAGUGGUACUGGAGAGCACGGCUCUGCAGAAUGGUUGAGGUGGCAUGGUCCCUGCUCUUCCUCCCUCUGUUUCCGUUGCUAUGCCUAUUGCCAAUUCUCCAGCUGCUUCUUUGGCCCCAAUGCUUGGUCUCGUUGCCAUGAUCCCAUGGCCUGUAGGGUUGCACUAAUCCUCCAGAUGAGGAGAGGCGCCUGCAGCUCACGGAGACCCCACAGAGACCCCAAUCCCUGGACAUAGGGCUGUUUUCACCAGCUGCAGACCAUGGUACCUUGGGGGCCAUGCCUGCCCCUACCCUGUCCCCAGUGUGUCCACAGUGCCUGUGCCUGUGAACUGAGUUCCUGAAGAAGAUGGCACGGGUGCUGAAGAGCCUCCCCUGAGUGCAGCAACUGAGUUGCACUCCGGCAGACUAAUUUACGCCCUAAUUGGUGUGGAAACGAGUGCCAGAAAGCACUGGAAUAUCGAGAAGUGAAGCUCUCCAUCUUGGCUUCCUUCAGGGAAAUGGUCUAAUUAAGAGCCUGUCUUGCAAAGAGAGAUAAUUUCCAGCUCUGUGUUGCGGUAGGAGCCAGGAUGAAGGUUGCAGCUGAUACCAUCUUCUCCUCACUGGAUCCACUUGGCUGUUGCACAGUGAGGGCAAAGCUGGGUGUAGGUUUCUCAUCUUGUGCCCAGCACCCUGUGCAUCCCAUGGGUUUGAGCUCCUUCCUCACCCAGUGCUCUACAGGACUAUGACUUAUAGCUGCAUUAGAACCCGUUUGUUCUCCCAUCACCAGGUCCCAUCACAAGAGGCUGCACCAGCUGCACAAGCCCAUUGUAGCACCGACUCUGGCGUUGACUUCAUGCCUACAAUCUCCACCAAUAUUUGCAUAGCGGUUGUGCAAACUUCACGCCAUUCAUUGACAGCCCUCGGGCUGCAGCGGGGCUUUUCCCUGCUGUAUUUGCUCUGGUUCCCUGCUGUAUUUGCUUUGGGUAAGCAGUGGUUUCACUCUCCCCAUGGCCCCUAGCCGCCUUCCAGCCUCAGCACCGCUGGUCCCAUCACCGCUGCCUGCAAAGCACGGCUGGCACAGAGACACCCCAGCCCCUUCCCCGUGGCCCCGCUGUGCACAGCUGUUCCCUUAGAAAUAGCUGUUGCCAUGGUUUUUCCAAAGAAAACACAUCUCCCCCCACAUCCCCCUCCCCGUUCCCCACCGCCACCGCUCCCCACCGCCUUAACCUUGUGACAGCAGCUAUGACGCGGCUCCCGCAGAAAGGCCACUUGGUGUAGCCAUGAGCCUGGCCUGGCCCCAGGGAGGGACUGAGGUCCAUAGGAUGCUGAUGUUUGGCCAAGGAGGAUUUGGGAAGAGAGCAGAAGCGGGGAUACCCCAGCACAACUCUCAGCAUCGCUGCAGGAUUCGGCAUCCCCAAGGAGUGGCUGCAAUGCAGGUGGCUUUCAGAGGGUGCUCGUGCAAAGCUGCUUUUCUUCCCACUGAAAUGGGCACGGGGGGAAUCAGAGGAGCUCAGCUCACAGCUGCCUUUGCCCCAGGAAGGGAGAUUUAAGGGGAGUUUUGCACAGCCCUCACUGAGAGUCACCCCUCUGCCCAGACACAGCCAAGAGAUGUUUUUGUUCAUCCCGACCCUCCCUAGUGAUUUCAACGUGUGCUGCAGCCCAUGGCACCUGGAAGACCACUGCCAGCAUCGUGUCAUCCCCCAGCAUCACACCUACAUCACCCCGGGCAUCGUGCUCUGAAAAGUGGGGUGAUGAGGGAUGACUCCGUGGACACAGUGCACACAGCUGGUGACACACGCUCCAACCAUCAUCCAUGGGGACAACCCUGGGGACAGGAGCAGGGAUGGGGAGAAGGCAGGGAUGCAGGCAGUGCUGGAGGAGAAGCAGCCCCAGCUCCAUAGCAACAGGUACUCGCCGUGUAAUGGAGUCCUUUCCGCUCGGCCUCCGCAGCCGUCAGCCUUAUUCGCAUGGCCAUAAAUAAUUCAAUUUUCUCAUUCACACACAUGAAUGCUGCGGGCCGGGGCUCCGGGUGCACUCAGCCUCCAUCUGUCCAGGGGGGAAGGGGAAG